rnacentral:sRNA from 1 species
CUGACAGUAUUUAAGACUGAAGAUCUCCUGUUACCAGUAGAGCAGGUACAACAUGGACAGCAGCAGGACAGCCUUUCCACAUUGUCUCACCAGUGUGCCCUCCAUACUGACCUGCAAUGACCACUUCUAAAUAUGACAAUGUAGUUCAGUCUCCAAGCCUAUUCAAGGUCUGAUCCAAC